rnacentral:rRNA from 1 species
UACGGGGGGGGCAAGCGUUGUUCGGAAUUACUGGGCGUAAAGGGUUCGUAGGUGGCCCGCUAAGUCACACGUGAAAUCCCUCAGCUUAACUGGGGAACUGCGUGUGAGACUGGCAGGCUUGAGUGCAGGAGAGGAACGCGGAAUUCCAGGUGUAGCGGUGAAAUGCGUAGAUAUCUGGAGGAACACCGGUGGCGAAGGCGGGUCUCUGGGCCGAUACUGACGCUGAGGAGCGAAAGCGUGGGGAGCGAACAGG